CGUCUUUUCUGGACGGCCCUCCGGCAAGAGGAAGGGUGCAGGCCACGCCCCCGAAAGGUGGAAAGACUGUAUCCCAGUUUGACAGCAGAUGCCAGGAACUUGUUUCAUUGCUUUCAAAGUUCCUUUGAAAAAGGGGAAAGUCGGCUUGGACAAUGCCCAGCAACAAUGCCAAGAACAUCAGCCAAGGGAUCUGCGUAUUCCUUGAAUUCAGCCAACAGGUACCAUAUUGAAUACAUACUUAAACCUAUAAAUUCUUCCUUUGAGUUCCACUAUAUUGAAUUUCUGUGUCGUGGGGAAUAACUCUACCAUUAAAGAAUAAAUGGACAUUGACACAAAAGCCUAUUAUAAAGCAGUGUUUAAUAAAAAGACAGAUGCACCCCUAUGUUUAUUGCAGCACUAUUUACAAUAGCCAAGAAAUGGAAGCAACCUAAGUGUCCAUCGGUAGAUGAAUGGAUAAAGAUGUGGUACAUAUACACAAUGGAAUAUUAUUCAGCCAUAAGAAGAAAACAAAUCCUACCAUUUGCAACAACAUGGAUGGAGCUAGAGGGCAUUAUGCUCAGUGAAAUAAGCCAGUUGGAGAAAGACAAGUAUCAAAUGAUUUCACUCAUCUGUGAAGUAUAGGAACAAAGCAAAAACUGAAGGAACAAAACAGCAGCAGACUCACAGAACCAAGAAUGGACUAACAGUUACCAAAGGGAAAGGGAUUGGGGAGGAUGGGUGGGAAGGGAGGGAUAAGGGGGCAUUACGAUUAGCAGACAUAAUGUAGGGCAGUCACAGGGAAGGCUGUACAACACAGAGAAGACAAGUAGUGAUUC